ensembl:ncRNA F35D2.16 ncRNA
CUGGUGAUGGCGACGACGGCUUCUCCUUCUUCGUCGGAGCUUCGUCGGUGGCCUCGUCGCCAUCCGUCUAUCGAUCUCGUUUCCUUUUAGUUUCGAGUGGGCACACACAUAUACACACACAAGUCGCCGUUGCUCUCUCGUCUCCGCGCAGUUCAGAUAGACGGCAUAGAAAUUUGUGAUACGCAGAGGGAGAUAGAGCGGACCAAGUUGAGCCAACGGCUACUAGCUUCUUCUUCGUCCUCUUCUUUAUACUUCUCCAUCUCUCCUCUUGUUUCCCAU